AAGGAUUGAAAGCAAAACAUUAAGAGUGCAGUACAUUUUUAAAAUAGAAUUGCACACAAAAUUAUUUACUAUAAAAUAGAAAUAGAAAUAUCACCUCAGAUUUCAGUCUCACAUCAAACUGGUUCACAUGUAUGAAUCUAUAUGCUUUGAGAGCGAACAAUCUUUAAUAUUAUUAGAUCUUUUAUCAACUCAGAAACUAAUCAAACAUUCAUUGUAGAGAGUGUAUUUCUAGUUUAUAUUCAUCACAAAGUAUGAACGUUUCUAAUGUUUUGUAGAACAUGAACAUGCAUGAAGAAAUCAAUCUGAGGUCUGAGACUGACAGCUGUCUGUUCUGUGUGUGAAGAGCAUUUACAUAGAGACACUUUGCAUGAGAGAGUUUAUAGUGCUGUGAGUUUAACACUUCAUGACUGAGAGCAGAACAGAACACAAUCUUCAUCAUCACACAAGACACAACAACAACAAUGAACAACAUCAUCAUCCUCAUCUGGACCAUUGCAGCUUUUAUUCAAGCAUCCAGAGGAGUCACUUUGACUCAACCUAAAGAGAAAACUGUCCAGCUCGGUCAAACAGCUACAAUAGAGUGUCAUAUAGAUGUAGGAAUAUACAGCACUCACUUAUACUGGUAUCAGCAGAAACCUGGAGAAACUCCUAAACUUCUGAUAUCUUAUAUAAACACCCUCCAGUCAGGAACUCCAUCUAGAUUCAGUGGCAGUGGAACAAGAGAUACUGGACGAGAUUUCACUCUGACCAUCAGUGGAGUCCAGACUGAAGAUACAGGAGAUUAUUACUUGACGGAGCCAGGACGUUUUCAUAGGGGUGGCUAGGGAAGGGCCAGCAACCAGUCUGGGGUGGCACAGAAAUCUUCAUUAUUUCAAUAUAAAAAUGUGUUUGACUAUAAUGUACUGGACUGUUUUCAUUCCAAAAACACAACAAAGUACAAUUAAUUUCUACUAAACUGUAAUUGAAAUAUUUGUGAAUUAGAUCAAGUAAUACUGAGUGAAUAUGAAUUUUUUUUUAUUAUUCCUCACCUCCAGGUAUUUUAUAAAAGGGCUCACUAUAGCUUUAUUGCUCAUUCAACUUCUCAACCCGAAUUGCUCUCCAAUAUUGCAUACUAAUGGAUGAGACACACAGAAAGAUGUGAAAAUGGCUGGAAGUCAACAGUAGACAUAAAUGCCAGGAUAUAAAAUUUGUUAUUUUAUGCAUUUCAAUUUUCAUUUUCAUAUAUGUUCUACUAGAUUUGUAAAAUUUGUAAUUUAAUGCACAAAUAAAUGUGAACACAGUACACUUAUACUAGUAUAAGUGCAAUGUGCUCACAUUUAUCUAUGCAUUAAAUUACAAAUAAAAAUAGUUUGUGCCUUAGGUAUUCUCGAAUUAUAGAAUAUAUUUUAGUAUGCAUUUGAGCAACGUUCAUGCAUGCUGCGUAUACAUGCAAAGUUUUCAGCUUUGAUCAUCUUUUUGGAGAUUGCAUGACUGACGACAGAACUGGGUAUGUAUGCUCAUAUUUCUUUUGCGGGUUAUUUAUGAUGAAAACUCAAGAUAAGUUAACUCGUGGCCUCAAGAUAAGUUAACUCGUGGCCUCAAGAUACUAACUCAUGGCCUCAA